rnacentral:rRNA from 1 species
AGUGAACGCUGGCGGUAGGCCUAACACAUGCAAGUCGAACGGCAGCACAGUAAGAGCUUGCUCUUACGGGUGGCGAGUGGCGGACGGGUGAGGAAUACAUCGGAAUCUACUUUUUCGUGGGGGGUAACGUAGGGAAACUUACGCUAAUACCGCAUACGACCUACGGGUGAAAGCAGGGGAUCUUCGGACCUUGCGCGAUUGAAUGAGCCGAUGUCGGAUUAGCUAGUUGGCGGGGUAAAGGCCCACCAAGGCGACGAUCCGUAGCUGGUCUGAGAGGAUGAUCAGCCACACUGGAACUGAGACACGGUCCAGACUCCUAAGGGAGGCAGCAGUGGGGAAUAUUGGACAAUGGGCGCAAGCCUGAUCCAGCCAUACCGCGUGGGUGAAGAAGGCCUUCGGGUUGUAAAGCCCUUUUGUUGGGAAAGAAAAGCAGCAGGUUAAUACCCCGCUGUUCUGACGGUACCCAAAGAAUAAGCACCGGCUAACUUCGUG